rnacentral:rRNA from 1 species
UGCGUAGGCGGUUUAUUAAGUCAGAUGUGAAAGCCCCGGGCUCAACCUGGGAACUGCAUUUGAUACUGGUAAACUAGAGUUUGGUAGAGGGUAGUGGAAUUCCAGGUGUAGCGGUGAAAUGCGUAGAGAUCUGGAGGAACACCAGUGGCGAAGGCGGCUACCUGGACCAAAACUGACGCUGAGGUACGAAAGCGUGGGGAGCAAACA